rnacentral:rRNA from 1 species
UCCUGACACAGGGAGGUAGUGACNAGAAAUAACNAUACNGGGCUCUUUCGAGUCUUGUAAUUGGAAUGAGUACAAUUUACAUCUCUUCACGAGGAUCAAUUGGAGGGCAAGUCUGGUGCCAGCAGCCGCGGUAAUUCCAGCUCCAAUAGCGUAUAUUAAAGUUGUUGCAGUUAAAACGCUCGUAGUCGGAUUUCGGGGCAGGUUUGCCGGUCUGCCGAUGGGUAUGCACUGGUNGNANNGUCCUUCCUUCCGGAGACGGCGCCUACUCUUAACUGAGCGGGUGUCGGAGACGGAUCGUUUACUUUGAAAAAAUCAGAGUGUUUCAAGCAGGCAGCUCGCUUUUGCAUGGAUUAGCAUGGGAUAAUGAAAUAGGACUUUGGUGCUAUUUUGUUGGUUUCGAACACCGAANUAAUGAUUAACAGGGACA